GCUAACUCUCAAGAACCAAUCCUUCCAUCUCACAGUAGGACUGGGCCAGGAACGGAAGGUAUCUUUCCACAGAUCUAGAGAAAAAUUUUCGGCUCUAAAGGGGAUUCUGUUUGUUUCUGCGUUGAUCAGAUCGGUGGGAUCUGGGUUCCCUAGCGGACCGAGACAUUGGAGGUGUGGCUGAUCGGUAGGGAUGAUGAUUUUAUUGGACAGAUCCUAAUGGUUUUUGGGGUAAAAAGAAGAACAAAAGAAAAAAAAGAAGAAUGUUCAGUAAAAUAAAUUGCGGAUGAAUAAGGAUAUGGUAAAAGUACAAGAGGUAGGGUGAUGAACUGACCUCGGGAACAGCAAAGUUGAUGGCCAUCUCCUCGCGAAGAAGAUGAUUGAAGACUUUGAGGUUGGUGAAGAAAGGUCUUCGUUGGAGUUCUUAGAGCUCUCGAACUGCGCCGCCGCC
rnacentral:lncRNA from 1 species